ACGAAUGGAGCAAGCGUUGUUCGGAAUUACUGGGCAUAAAGGGUGCGUAGGCGGCUUGAUAAGUCGAGGGUGAAAUCCGGUGGCCCAACCAUCGAACUGCCCUUGAUACUGUUGAGCUUGAGUGCGUGAGGGGAGACUGGAACGAGUGGUGUAGCGGUGAAAUGCGUAGAUAUCACUCGGAACGCCAACGGCGAAGGCAGGUCUCUGGUGCGCAACUGACGCUGAGGCACGAAAGCGUGGGGAGCAAACAGGAUUAGAUACCCUGGUAGUCCACGCCGUAAACGAUGAGCACUAGAUUGCUGGCGAGCUAUUCGUUGGCAGUCGCAGACAAUUUGUUAAGUGCUCCGCCUGGGGAGUAUGGUCGCAAGGCUG
rnacentral:rRNA from 1 species